CGCGUAGGCGGCCCUAUAAGUCAGAUGUGAAAGCCCGGGGCUUAACCCCGGAAGUGCAUUUGAAACUAUUGGGCUUGAGUAUGGGAGAGGGAAGUGGAAUUCCUGGUGUAGAGGUGAAUUUCGUAGAUAUCAGGAGGAACACCGGUGGCGAAGGCGACUUCCUGGACCAAUACUGACGCUGAGGCGCGAAGGCGUGGGGAGCAAACAGGAUUAGAUACCCUGGUAGUCC
rnacentral:rRNA from 1 species